GACGAACGCUGGCGGCGUGCCUAAUACAUGCAAGUAGGACGCAGUUGCGAACGGGUGAGUAACGCGUAGGUAACUGCAUAUUAGAGGGGGAUAAAUAUUGGAAACGAUAGCUCAUACCGCAUACUAGUAGAUGGACCUGCGUUGUAUUUGCUAGUAGGUAGGGUAAUGGCCUACCUAGGCAACGAUACCUGACCGACCGGAGGGGGGGAGCGGCCAUACUGGGACUGAGACACCGCCCAGAAUCCUUAGGGAGGCAAGAGGAGGGAAUCUUCGGCAAAGGGGGGAACCCUGACCGAGCAACGCCGCGUGAGUGAAGGAGGGUUUCGGGUCGUAAAGCUCUGUUGUGAAGGAAGCGGUACUUAACCAGAAAGGGACGGCUAACUACGUGCCAGCAGCCGCGGUAAUAC
rnacentral:rRNA from 1 species